GCGUCCUGGCGCGGGGACUGCGGCGGAGCCCCUCGACAGCCCGAGCUCCUGUGGGGCUCCCCGGGAGCUUUCCGCCAUUGCCCAGGCUUUGAGAGCGCUGUCGAAACGAUAAGGAAACCGAGGCUUAGGAAAUUAACCUGACAAAUACAAGGGAUUCCUGAAUAUGUUCUGAUUCCUACUUCAAGAGUGACACAGGACAAAAAGUGGAAGCUUUCCAUGGGAGGGCUACACAAGAAAAAUUUUAGCUUCCAGCUAAGAUCACACACGACUAUGAAUACAAAGAGAAAAACCAACUGUAGAAAAAAGGAAAUAAAUAAUUUUUGACCUACUACUUGUCAGACUGGCUUAGAAGUCUCUUCUCUGAGCUCCCAUAACAACCUGAGCAUGUCUCCAUCAGAGCCCUUGCCACAUGACAAUGUCUGUUUUACCUGGGGCACUUCUCCACCAUUGACCUGUGAGUGGAUCACGGUAUCUUUCAACUGAGCUUCCCAGGGCUUCACACAAUGUUUGGCACAUGUUAGAUGAGAGCCCUGGGUGAAAAUCACAGCUUGACAGCCUGAGCAUCUUUAAAAAGUUAGGCAAAAUUGACUCAUUUGCCAAUGGAAGGAAGAUGGACAUGUCUUGGACUAAAGACUAGAUAAUGAAAAAAAAGAAGAAAGAAAGAAAGCCUAUGGUGAAGAUGGCUGAGAGUGGCCUGGCCUGAAAGCACUAUGGUGCCAUACUAGCUUUGGAGCAGCUGGAUUUGGACUUCCUGAUUCAUGAGAAAAGUAAACUACUAUUUGGUUGUUCUGUUACAUGGAGCCAAAACUAUUUCCUAAUAUAAUCCCCUAAAUCCUUUUGAGAUUUUCUGAAGAUUCUCUUUCAGAUUUCCUACAGUGAAAGUACUUCUUUCU